UAGCCUUUAGCAAUAAAAGUAUUAAAGGUCCUGCCUGCCCAGUGAAAACUUUUAAACGGCCGCGGUAUUCUAACCGUGCAAAGGUAGCGUAAUCACUUGUCUUCUAAAUAAAGACCAGUAUGAACGGCUAAAUGAGGACAAACCUGUCUCCUACAAUUCAUCAGUGAAACUGAUCUCCCAGUCCAAAAGCUGGGAUAAUGACAUUAGACGAGAAGACCCUGUGGAGCUUCAAACCUACCUAGUAACCAAACCAAACUAUGCGGGUUUUAAGUUGGGGCGACUUCGGAACAAAACAAAACUUCCGAGCACAGAACCACAAACUCUUACCAAGGCAAACAGGCCAAAGGAAAAACUGACCCAGUCCACACUGACCAACGAACCAAGUUACCCCAGGGAUAACAGCGCCAUCCUCUUCAAGAGUCCAUAUCGACAAGAGGGUUUACGACCUCGAUGUUGGAUCAGGGCACCCAAAUGGUGCAACCGCUAUUAAAGGUUCGU
rnacentral:rRNA from 1 species